rnacentral:tRNA from 1 species
AUCUGUAUCCGCAAUAACAAAAGAAUUAGAAUUAAAUCUUCUGAGUUGUGUCAAAAUCGAAGAUAUGAAAAUAAAACGCA